rnacentral:rRNA from 1 species
GGGAUAACACUUGGAAACAGGUGCUAAUACCGCAUAACCAUAGUUACCGCAUGGUAACUAUGUAAAAGGUGGCUAUACUACCGCUUUUGGAUGGGCCCGCGGCGCAUUAGCUAGUUGGUAGGGUAAAGGCUUACCAAGGCAAUGAUGCGUAGCCGAAUUGAGAGGUUGAUCGGCCACAUUGGGACUGAGACACGGCCCAAACUCCUACGGGAGGCAGCAGUAGGGAAUCUUCCACAAUGGGCGAAAGCCUGAUGGAGCAACGCCGCGUGGGUGAAGAAGGUCUUCGGAUCGUAAAACCCUGUUGUUAGAGAAGAAAGUGCGUGAGAGUAACUGUUCACGUUUCGACGGUAUCUAACCAGAAAGCCACGGCUAACUACGUGCCAGCAGCCGCGGUAAUACGUAGGUGGCAAGCGUUAUCCGGAUUUAUUGGGCGUAAAGGGAACGCAGGCGGUCUUUUAAGUCUGAUGUGAAAGCCUUCGGCUUAACCGGAGUAGUGCAUUGGAAACUGGGAGACUUGAGUGCAGAAGAGGAGAGUGGAACUCCAUGUGUAGCGGUGAAAUGCGUAGAUAUAUGGAAGAACACCAGUGGCGAAAGCGGCUCUCUGGUCUGUAACUGACGCUGAGGUUCGAAAGCGUGGGUAGCAAACAGGAUUAGAUACCCUGGUAGUCCACGCCGUAAAC